rnacentral:rRNA from 1 species
UACGUAGGGUGCAAGCGUUGUCCGGAAUUAUUGGGCGUAAAGAGCUCGUAGGCGGUUUGUCGCGUCUGCUGUGAAAACCUAAGGCUCAACCUUGGGCUUGCAGUGGGUACGGGCAGACUAGAGUGCGGUAGGGGGUGACUGGAAUUCCUGGUGUAGCGGUGGAAUGCGCAGAUAUCAGGAGGAACACCGAUGGCGAAGGCAGGUCACUGGGCCGCAACUGACGCUGAGGAGCGAA